UCGUGGAACGCCUUCACCGCCGCCAGAGUUCGCCGGAGUACCUGCUCCGGGACGCCGUGGUUGAUCACCUGGAAGAACCCCACCGUGCUCGCCGCCUGCCGAACCCGCUCCACCACGGCGGCGCGCGACCCCUGCACGGCGGCCAGGUCAACCGUGGGAAUCUCCGGCGCAGAUUCGGAUUCGAACCCGCGCUUCAGCUCCGCUAAGGUUUUGGGCGGGUGAACGAAGAUAGGGGGGAUGGCCUUGAUCCCAGAAUCGACCAAACCUUUGACUCCGACCUUGGUUUCUUCGAACUCCUUCACCGCUUUCGCGCGGUUGUACGGCGCGGCGGCGCUGACAGCGGUGGCCACCGGCGAUGACAUUGGGAAGAGGCGAGAAUAGGAAUCGUUGUUUGAGUGUAGAAAGUUCAAAUUCAGUGCAAAGUGAAUUGAAAACUAUAAAGUGCAGUUUUCUGAUUUGGCACAAAAAUUAAAUAACAAAAAUAUAUUAGUCAAGAAACUUCACUAAUUCUAGUCAUUUUUUUAUUCAACAGGUUUUUUUUCUUAUUAAAAUAUAUCAAGUAACCAUAAUUAUUUAUUAUUACAUAAAAAAUAUAUUAUUAAAAAAUAUAUAUAUAAAAAUAAAAAAUAUGAAAUGAUUAGAUCAAAAUCUUUAUAUUAAAUAAAAUAAUAUAUAAAUAAAUUAUACAUAUUUAUAAAAAAUCUUAAAUCAGAUUAAAGGUUAAUAAGAAUUUAAAUAUAUAUUUUUCUUUAAUUUAUCGAACAACACUAACCUUUAAAACAAAUAAUAUUUCAAAUGUAAUAAUUAAUUUUAAUAAUACUAUAUUUCUUCAGAAGAAUAUUCAAAUUACAGUGAUGUUAUCAGUUACCUAACACUAAAAUAAUAUAAAUUUGGCCUUAUAGGAUGUUUUUAGAAUGUUGAAUUUUUUAUAAGGUGAGAAAGAAAAUACCAAUAGAAAAAUAAUUUUUAUAAUAGAGUUUAUAUGAAAUUAAGCUAAAAGCACUUUUAUAAGUAUAUCCAUUAUGAACUUCUCGAAGUAAGAAUAUUAUUAAUAGAGUUUAAUAUUUAACAAUUUAACUAUAUCAUGUAUAACUAAUAAUAAGUUGAUUUUUUUACUUAACCUUAACCUUAUUUAUGGAGGUUGAAAGCUCUAUAAAUAUAAAUACUUAUCAAAGAAAACAUAAUAUCUUACUAGAAAAUAAAAUUGUAGUUCUGUAACGUGAGUGAUAAAAAUAUUUGAAUUCAACCAGUUAAAGAUAUUGACUUUAUAUCUAUCAAAUUUAUCGUACUUAAAUCUACUAAACUAUAAUUUCAUAAUUUAUUUAUAUAUACUAAUUCAUAGAAUAAUUUGUUCAUGUUUUUAUUAUGUAUUAAUUAAAGGUUUCAAUUUUUUUGUAUUUUAAAAUUUAAUUCUUUAAAUUUUAAUCAAUAUUAUAAUUAGUAAAUAAAAUAAUAAGUUAGUCCACUUUGUUAGAAACUAGGGAAAUAAAAGGCGUGCCUAUAUGUUUAUUUUUUUAUGAUAAUAAAAGAUAAUUAAUAUAAUUAUUGUUAUUACAAUGAAAUGUAAUUAUCCUAAAAAAGUUAACUAAUGAAUAUAAAAACAGAGAGAAUAAAUUAAUAAAAAUAGUGUAUAAAAAAUAGUCAUGAAAACUAAUUCAUAGCUAAUAUUAAAAUGACGAUCAAUGAAAAUAAGAUUUUUUUAUAGUCAAUGUAAGUCAAGAUUUUUAGCUUUAUUGACAAGGAUUAGUUUCAAAUUAAUAUUAUUAAAAUGAUUUAUCAUCAAAUCAAGUUAUAACUAUUUAUUCAUAGAUGUUUGAUAUUUAGUGGGGUUUUAUUUAGAUGUUAGCCAAAAAAACUUCUAUUGAAAUUUUUAGUAGCUAUUUUUAAUCUGCUAGAAUUAUUUUAUGAACAAUAUUUCUAAUAUUAUUUGACGAUAAUUUUUGUAUUUAAUAUUUUUUAUUAAGUAAUAAUUAAAAUACUCAAUUCAAAAAAAUAAUAAACUUGAAUUUUCUAUUUGGGUGAUAGAAUUUUGAGCAUAGAAUAAAAGAAUGUGUUAACAAGGGAAGAACGUUUUGGUGAAGGCAUGGAAAGGUUAGAGUAUAUUCAACUUUCUGAAUAUAUGACUUUUAAGCAAUUUUAUUCAAUCAAUGCUACAACAUACAUUAUUGAAUAUAUUUGAGUUGACAUGACUUUUGGACUGCUUCUUCUUCUACCAUCAUAGUUUCUUCAAAGCUUCUUCCUACCUUCAAUCUCAUAAUUCUUAAAAUAUCAAAAAUAUAUUUUAUUUUAUUAAUGUUUUUUUUUAAAUAAUAUCAAUCUCAUUCUUUAAAAUAUCAAAAAUAUGUUAUAUUUUAUUAAAAUAUUUAAUUUCUAAAUAAUAAUUUGAAAAAACUCUGAAUUAUAGAAUUUAUAAAAUAUUUUUAAAUAUCCCGGUCUGGUUACUUGUUAAGGUAUUUUUCAUGGAAGUAUAGGGAAAUUUAUUGAAACUUUCUCUGCGUUUCUUGAAGUUCAGACUGCUCUGGUUGCUGAGUUUUAUGGGGUUAUACAUGCUAUGGAGAAAACUCAAAAGAUGGGGCUUUCUAAUGUCUGACUAGAAUGUGAUUUUGCUUUGGUUUGUGUUGCGUUUAUGGUUAUGACCAAUGUUCUUUGGAUGUUUCGUAAUCGAUGAAAUACUUGUCUUAAUUACUGUGGAAAAAUCAGAUUUAGGGUUACUCAUAUUUUUCGUGAAAGGAAUGCGUGUGUUGAUAAGUUGACAAUAUAAUUUAUUCAUAGAGAAUUUUUUCAUUGGUAUAAUACAUCUAGUAUAUUCUUAGAAUUAUUUAUGAAUAUGUAUCGUUUUUGUUAAUAUAUGCGUUUUGAUCUAAUUUAUCAUAUUUUCUUUCUUUUUCUUUUUUAAUAAUAUUUUUUUCAUGUGAUGAAAAAUAAUUGUUGUUACUUAGUGUAAGCAUAACUGAUAUAUGUCUAAGUUGCAUAAUGAUUACGAAAAAAUACAUUAAACAUGAAAGGUUUUAUUUUAAAAAAAAAACUUUCAUAAUUCUAUAAACUAAAAUGUGUUUUUUUUAAAAGAAUAUUCCAAAUUAUUAAAUAUGAAAGGUAUUUUUAAAUUAAAAAAUACAUUUUAAAUUCCAUAAUCUUGAAUUUGAAUUUAUUUUAUUUAAGAAAAAAUAUAUUCUGAAUUGUAGUCCAUAACUACAAUCCAGAUAUAUAAAUUAAAAAAAAAUUCAUUCAGAAAUUAUAAAAUCUAGAAAGUAUUUUUAUAUUUGAAAAUAUAUUUUAAAUUCUAUAAUUCAUAAUAUAUUUAAAAUAAAUAUUUUUGGAUUUCUUAUAAUCCAGAGUAAAUAAGAAAAAUUACAUUCUAAAUUAUAAAAUUUAGAAAAUACAUUCCAAAAAUUUUAAAAAUAAAAUAAUUUUUUCGUCUGAAAUAUAACAAUGUUAGAAGAAGCUAUGGAGGUUUAAGAAGAAAGAGUCUCAUCACCAUGUUUCAUGAAAAUUAUUAACCCAAUAAAAGAAGAGAAAGUUAUAAAGAUGUUUUAUAUUUGACACCACACAUUAAAGAUGAAAAAUUAAAUUUCUCACUCGAAAGACAUUUAUAGUCUCUUAUUAAAAAAUUAUAAAUUAAUUUAUACAUCAAUUAAUUUAAAUUUUAAAAAAAUGUUCUCCCAAAAAUAUUUAUAGAAAAUUUUGCCUAACAAAUUUCCAAUUGUAUAGAGAUUCAUCAUUUUCAAGUACUUUUUUAAGUAUUUGAAUGUUCACUCUUACCAAAAUAUGUAAAAAGAAGUUUCAAUAUCUUCUAAAGUACAUAAGAAAAUAGUUACAACCACAUCAUUGUUUUUUCUAGAACCUUAUGAAACAUUCUAAGGCUUUCCAAAAUAUUAAAGCAUUCUACAACCUCAAUAAAGUUUCUAAUUUAUACCUUAAAUAAUUUUAAUCUAUAGAAAAGCACUUUCUUGUCUUGUAAAAAUUCUAAAAGAAGUUUUAUAAAUUAACUAGUUUGUUACCAACACUGAAACAUAUACACUUGGCUUGCAACAUGCAAUAUAGGAUCACAAUAACCAGAAGUAUGAACAAGAUGACACAAUGUUUAGUUAGAAAUCCAAUACCAAUUUAAGUCAAAAUAAGAAUGAAAAAGUUAGACAUCAUAUAAAAAAAACAAAAAUUCUUUAUGAAUAGGUAUAGUCUAUCUAUGUAUCGUUUUUGUUAACAUAUGAGUUUUGGUCUAAUUUUCCAAUCUUUUUUAAUAAUAUUUUUUUUCAUGACAAAUGAUUAUUGUCACUUGAGGUGUCAACAUAGCUGAAAUGUCAAAUUACAUAAUAAUAACUAAAAUAAAAAUUUUUAUUUAAAAAAAAAACAAAAAAAAAUCAUAAAUUCAUUUGAGUUGAAAAAUGUCUAAUAUGUGUUACUAAAACUAGAGUAUAUCAUAAGUGAGGGAGGAACCAUUAUUGUUUCAAUUCAUCAACCACCUUUAACCUUUUAUUCACAAACUAAUUAGUUUAAAAUAUCAUCAUAUCACAUCAACCUUUUUAAAUCAAUACUUAAAAUGUUUUUAACAUUGACAUAUACAACCAGAAAUUAUAGGUGCUAAGUGUGUGUUCAUCACUGCCUGAAGAAAUUUGUGAGUGAUUUUCCAUCCAACUCUUUCUUGAAGAAUCUGGUCAUAAAUUCAUGGAAAGUGAAGUUCCUGUAAAGGGCGGGUUUCUCAGUUGAUGUUAACUCUGGCAAUGGUCCAAAGAGUCUCUCCCUGUCACUUGGGUUGAGGAAAACAGCUACUGAGACUCUAGCCUCAUUACAAUGAUUAGCUAACACUCGAUGAUGAGCACUCUUAUAUGCUUCGUUAGAAAUUAUCUGAAACACAAAAUAAUGAAUAUGAAAGAUCAGAAAAAGGGAUGUCAUAAAACAAUUCCUACAUAUAUAACCUGGUAGACCUUCAAAUUUAACCAAAGUUUUUCUUGAAGUUAUAAAUGGUUCUAAUAAUAUGUUUACAAAAUUAUAAAAGUCAAGUUGGUGCUAAGUUAACAAAUUAAUUUCAUAACCUUGCUUCAAAAUGUAAAAUUUAAUUAAAUUACUUUCCUUCUUUUUGUCUGUCAAAUGCAUUCUCUUCAAAAUUAAGAUCACUAAUAAUCUAUUAUUUUCAUUUUCAAAAAUAUUAUCUUAUCUUAAAAUAUCAUACCAUUUAUGUCUUGUGUGAGUAUCAUUAAUUUUGACUCUUAAACGAUACGAGAAUAAGCAAUGUGAAAAUAAUUAACAUAUAGCAAGGAGACCAUAAUAUUUUAAAGUAAAUAUUUUAAAUAAAUAAUCUUGAAAGGAUUAAAAAUAAUGUAAUUCUCAAAGUGUUUGUUUCAAAUUAUUGACCCACAUGAAAGAUACAUCAUGAUAAGCACAAAAAUUAAGUGACACAAGGGUUUAUUUAAUUAAACAAUUAUUAUUAUAUAUGAACAAAAUAAAAUAAAAUAUGAACCUGAAGGAAAUCUCCAAUGUUAAUAACCAAAGCUUGAGGCUGAGGCUUCACAUGGAUCCAACCCUGUGGGGUCUCAACCUGCAAGCCCCCAAUAUGGUCCUGCAGCAACACCGUAAGAGCCCCUGGAUCAGCAUGCGAAUUAAGACCCACCGUUAGAUCAGGCUGAGGGCAAAACGGGUAAUAAUGGCCCACCAUAAUUCUUCCUUCUCCCAAACCCAUCUCCCUGAACCUCUCCGCACCCAAUCCCAGCCCCUCACUCAGCAACUCAUACAACACACUCGAAACACGCACCACUUCCUUAUCCCACUCCACCACCUCUUCUCUGCACACCUCGGGAAUCUCGAUAGGAUCAACGGCUGUGGGCCCCAUUCUUAACUGCAAAAUAAAAUAAAAAAUUCAUAUUUAUUUUAUUUUUUAUUUUUUAUUUUUAUCGGCAAUGAAAAACGAAUUAAAUAUGAUUCAGAGUAGAGAGGUGUUCUUACUAAACAAACUUCAAAAUAUGCCUACUGAAUCCAGAUAAAAAUACUAUAGAAUCACUUAAUUAAGGUGCUCAAGCCAAGACAACAAUGAAAAUAUUUAUUUUAAUAUUAAUUUUAAUUAUAAAAUUCGUAUUAAUAUUUAAAAUAGUUAUUACUAAAUAUCGUAAAUUUAUUAUUUAUGGUGAAUUAUGAUCAGAAGGCUAUUCCCACCGAGAAAUUAAAAUUCAUGGUAUAUUUCAGUUUUGGUAGUAAUAAAAAAUAUUAAUCUUGCACAAAUUUUUAAUUCACUUUAAAUUUACAAAAAUAAAAAAAUCUCUUUAAUAUUAAUUAAUUGUAUAUUAAUAUUAAUUUUUUUAAUAGCAUAUGAUACCAAAGAUCAAGUAUUAGUUACCUGAAUUGUGUCACGCCAGCUGGCAGCUUUUGAUUGGAAGAGAUCCACGUUGGAAAUGUAAGAUACGCCCUUCCCCACCUCCCUACGGUACACCGGCACCCUGGCCUCCGCGGGCUGCUCGUGGAACGCCUUCACCGCCGCCAGAGUUCGCCGGAGUACCUGCUCCGGGACGCCGUGGUUGAUCACCUGGAAGAACCCCACCGUGCUGGCCGCCUGUCGAAUCUGCUCCACCACGGCGGCGCGCGACCCCUGCACGGCGGCCAGGUCUACCGUGGGAAUCUCCGGCGCUGAUUCGGAUUCGGACCCGCGCUUCAGCUCCGCUAAGGUUUCGGGCGGGUGAACGAAGAUAGGGGGGAUAGCCUUGAUUCCCGAAUCGACCAAACCUUUGACUCCGACCUUGGUUUCGUCGAAUUCCUUCACCGCUUUCGCGCGGUCGUAUGGCGGGGCGGCGCUGAGCGCGGUGGCCACCGGCGAUGACAUUGGGAAGAAGCGAGAAUAGGAAUCGUUGUUUGUGUGUAGAAAGUUCAAAUUCAGUGUAAAGUGAAUUGAAAACUAUAAAGUGCAGUUUUCUGAUGCGGUUCAACAAAUAAAUAACAAAAAUAGAUUAGUCAAGAAACUUCACUAGUUCUGGUCUUUUUUUUAUUCCAAUUAUAUUUCUUUAUUUACACGACUCAAAAUUAAAAUAUGAAAUAACAAAUUAUAUUUAAUUAAAAUGAUAAACUAUUAUUGGUUACCUAACACUACAAAAAUAUAAAUUUUGUCUUAUAUGAUAUUUUUGGAGUGUUGAAUUUUUUAUAAGGUGAAAAAAAAAUACCAAUAGAAAAAGAUUAUAAUAGAUUUUUUUUUAAAUGGGUUGAAAUUAAGGGAAAGAUUGUGUUUUUUUUUUCUUUUUUUUAAAUGGUUUUUUAAAUGGUUUUUGCGCUCUUAUUUAUAUAAACAUAACGAAUUUAGUCGGUUAGUGAUGAGACUUCCAAGUGUUCCAUAAAUUCGAUAUAAAAUUUAUAUAAAUUUAAGUUAAAAAAUACUCUUAUACGUAUAUAUUAUGAAACUUCUCAAACUAAAAAUAUUAUUAAUAGAGUUUAGUAUUGAACAAUUUAACUAUAUCGUUUAACUAAUAAGUUUAUUUUUUUUUACUUGAGUUUAGUAUUGAACAAUUUAACUAUAUCGUUUAACUAAUAAGUUGAUUUUUUUUCACUUGAGGUUGAAAACCUUAUAAAUACAAGUAUUUAACAAAGAAAACAUAAUAUCUUAAUAGAAAAUGAAAUUGUAGUUAUGUAACGUAAGUGAUAAGAAUAUUUGAAUUUAACCAUUCAAAGAUAUUGACUUCUGAUAUCAACUUUAGAAAAUCAGAUUUAUUAAAUUUAUUGUACUUAAAUCUAUUAAAAUAUAAUUUCAUAAUUUGUUUACAUAUAAUUAUUUAUAAUAUAACAUUUUCAUAUUUUUAAUAUGAAUUAAUUAAAUGUUUCAAUUUUUUUGUAUUUUUAAACUUUAACUUUUAAAUUUUUAUUUAAAUUUUAAUCAAUAUUAUAAUUAUUAAAUAAAAUAAGAUAUGUGAGUCCACUUUCUUGGAAACUAUGGAAAACAGAGGCAUGCUUAUAUGUUUAUCUUCUUUUAUGAAAAUAAAAGAUAAUUAAUAUAAUUAUUAUUAUUAUUAUAAUGAAAAGUAAUUGUCCUAAAAAAGUUAGAUAAUGAAUAUAAAAACAGAAAGAAUAAAUUAAUAAAAAAAAGUGUAUAAAAAACAGUCAUGGAAAUUAAUUCAACUUAGUAGUGGUUAUAAAUAAAGUAAUAUAUCUAUUUAAAACUUGAAAAGAAAAGUGUAAUUUUCGAUUUUCUCAUUUGUUAACUUUCGUGGUAAUGGUCUUAAAAACUAUGUUUUUUUUUUUUAAUGAAAAUUUUCAUGUUAGGCAUCCCUAUGCAACUUGACAUCUCAGCUAGGCUGACAUCUCAAGUAACAACAAUCAUCUGCCAUCACAUGAAAAAAGUAUUAUUAAAAAAAAGGAAAAAAAAGAAAAUACAAAAAUAUGGGGGGACUAGACCAAAACCCACAUGUUAACAAAAACGAUACAUAGGUAGACUAUACCUAUUCAUAAAGAAUUCUAAGAACAGACUAGAUGGAAGUCUAUUAUACCAAUGAAAUGAUUGUCUAUGAAUGAACCCUAAAUUAGCCAACUUAUCAGCACAUGCAUUUCCCUCACGAAAAAUACGAGUAACCCUAAACCUGAUUGUCCUACAGAAAUUAAGACAAGUAUUCCAUCGAUUACGAAGCAUCCACGGAACAGUAGUCCUAGCAGUAAACGCAGCACAAACCAAGACAGAAUCACAUUCAAGCCAAACAUUAGUAAGUCCCAUCUUCUGAGCUUCCUCCAUAGCAUGUAUAACUCCAUAAAACUCAGCAACCAAAGCAGUUUGAAUUUCAAGAAACCCUGAAAAAGCACCAAUAAAUUCUCCCAUACUCCCACGGAAAAUACCUCCACAAGUAGCAAGUCCAGGAUACCCCUAGCAGCCCCAUCAGUGUUAAUUUUAACCCAGCCUGGUGAAGGAAAUUCCCAUCUAACUGAAAGAGGAUGAAGAACUUUCCCACUACGAGUCUUAAUACCAAUAAUAUUAUUAUUUUAUUUGGAGUUAGGAUUUGAAAUUCUUAAAAACUAUGUUUUAUUAACUAACAGUGUAAUAAAAUUUAUAUUCAUAAUUUGGAGGAACAAUAUCAAAUACCAACCAUGUCAUACAAAUUAAACAACAGGCUAAAUAAAUACAAAAACAAAAUAGUUUAAAUACUCAUGAAAACAAAAAAUUUAAAGAACAUUUUAAUUAAAAAUAUACAAAUUUAUAAAGUAGUAAAACCUCAGUUAAACUUAUAUUAUAUUACGAAAUUAAGAUUAGAAAAUAAGAAAUAAGGAUCAAAUUCUUUAAAACGUUAAAAAAUAAUAAAUAAAAAAAAUAAAGAAAUGGUGAAAGAAAAGAUCACGCAACUAUUGUUUUGCAUUGACGUGGCAGGCUUUGAGCCAAAAGUUGAAACCGGAAGUUCCCACACGCUACGCUGGAGUGAGGUCUCAUCUUUCGCUGGAAACAAUGACAGCUUACGUAUUCCACCUAUCAUAAAAUGUUACACAAUGGCAUUUUUUAAUAAAUAUAAAUUUUAAAAUAUAACUGAUAUAAUAAGUAUAUGUUAUAUUUGUUUUCUAUGUGUGGAUGUGGGAACCUAAGUAAUGUUUAUUCACUUGAUAUACAAUUUGCUGUUGUGUCGGUAGUUUCUGAAUUUUUUAAAGUUGUUCUUCUCCUACGUGUGUGCUCCGUUGGUCGGUGGAUGGGUAUCUGCGAUUGCACUUCGUCGUUCAAGUCAGUGCUAGUGAUUAGUUUGUUAUCUUAGGAUAUGAAAAACGUACAUUUUCCCUCUUCAGAAGUCUUAUUUAUAGGUUGACCUGGACCUCCUUCGUGUGGGUCAGAUAAUCAGUUUAUUAAGACGUGUGUAGGUCGUGUGUAGUGACUUCUUAAAAUCAUGAGAGUGUAUUCGAAGUACAACUCAUUCAACGCAAACUAUAUAACAGUUUUCUUGCCACGUAUGUUAUAUUAUUAAUUCAUGUAUUGGAUCGGACUCGUACAUGUUUAUUAUAAAAUCGUUAUAGAAACUUAUUCACUAUAUCAUCUGAAGUUUUAACUGACAUAGGUACUUCUCUCAUGUGAGUUUUACACACUUAGUUUCACUAAUAUUUUAUGUGAUUCACUAAAAUGGAGGUAUUGGUGGCGCAAAAGACGAAGCAGCGAGGGUUUGCGUUAGCAUCUGUUUCUGAGGUUUCCAAGUUUCUUCUUUUUUUUUUUAAUCUGUGGUGUGGCACAUCAUUGGUUUGACUGAUGCAUGCUAGUUUUAUAUCUUUGUGUUUACUUUUCUUAUAAAGUGGUGUUUUGCAAGUGAUGUUAAAUACGAUUUUUUUUAUUAACAUCAAUUAGAAUUAUUUUGAAUAGAUCUUAGUUAGGAUUGAUGUAGUUGAUGUGGAUGUAAUUUAUGAUUAUUUUUUUUACUAAUGUCAAUUAUAGCUAAUAUUAAAAUGACUAUCAAUGAAAAUAAGAUUUUUUAUAGUCAAUGUAAGUCAAGAUUUUUAGCUUUAUUGACAAGGAUUAGUUUCAAAUUAAUAUUAUUAAAAUGAUUUAUCAUCAAAUCAAGUUAUAACUAUUUAUCCAUAGAUGUUUGAUGUUAGUGGGGUUUUAUUUAGAUGUUAGCCAAAAAACUUCUAUUGGAAUUUUUAGUAGCUACUUUUCAUAUUUUAUGAACAAUAUUUCCAAUAUUAUUUGAUGAUAAUUUUUGUAUUUAAUAUUUUUUAUUUAGUAAUAAUUAAAAUACUCAAUUCAAAAAAAUAAUAAACUAGAAUUUUCUUGUUCAAACAAAAUAUUUGAAUAUUAAAAAUUAAAAAUAAAAGUAAGUGAAAUGGAAUAUAUUUAAACUUUUUAAAAAUAUAGAAUUUCCUAUUUGGGUGAUAGAAUUUUGACCAUAGAAUAAAAGAAUGUAUUAACAAGGGAAGAAGGGGUUGGUGAAGGCAUGGAAAGGUUAGAGUAUAUUCAACUUUGUGAUUAUGACUUUUAAUCAAUUUUAUUCAAUCAAUGCUACAUACAUUAUUGAAUAUUUGAGGUGCCAUGACUUUUGAACUGUUUCUUCUGGUACCUUCAUAGCUUCUUCCUACCUUCAAUUACAUAUUUUUUUAAAUAUCAAAAAUAUUUUUUAUUCUAUUGAAGUUUUUUACUUUAAAUUAUAAAAUUUAUGAGAUAUUUCCAAAUCCAAACACCUUUCAAAUUUUAUAAACCAAAAUAUAUUUUUUCCAAAAAAAUACAUUUCAGAUUAUAAAAACCAAAAUGUGUUUUUUCUAAAAUAAAUACAUUUUAAAUUGUAGAAUUUGAAAAAUAUUUUGUACUCUACAGAGUCCAUAGAAUCAUAAUGUGUAAAUUAAAAAAAAAUACAUUAUAGAUUUUAAAAAGGUAUUUUGAAUCUAAAAAUGAAAAAUAUUUCAAAUUCUAUAAUUUAAAAUAUAUUUUUUUAGAAAAAUAUUUCACAUUGCAAAACUGGAAAUUUUACAACCCAAAAUAUGUAAAUAGAAAAAACUGCAAUCCAAAAGGAGAGAGUUAUAAAAAAGAGAAAGUUAUAAAGAUGUUUUAUAUUUGACCACCAGUCCCAAAAAAAUUAAAUUUCUCACUCGAAAUGACAUUUAUAGUCUCUUAUUAAUUGAAAAUUAAUUAAUUUUAAUUUAGAAAAAUGUUCACCAACAAAUAUUUAUAGAAAACUUUGUCUACAAAUUUCCAGAUGUAUAGAGAUUCGUCAUUUUCAAGUACUUUUUUAAGUAUCUCAAUGUUCACUCUUACCCAAGAUAUGUAAAAAAAGUUACAAUAUCUUUUAAAUGACUCUUACCCAAAAUAUGUAAAAGAAGUUACAAUAUCUCCUAAAGUAUAUCAGAAAAUAGUUACAACCACAUCAUUGUUUUUUCUAGAACCCUCUGAAACAUUCUAACAUUUUCCGAAAUAUUAAAACAUUCUACAACAUCAUUAAAGUUUAUAAUUUAUACAUUAAAUAAUUUUAAUCUAUAGAAAAGCACUUUCUUGUCUUGUAAAAGUGCUAAAAAAAGUUACAUAAAUUAGCAAGUUUGUUGCCAACACUGAAGCAUAUACACUUGGCUUGCAACAUGCAACAGGAUUACAAUAGCCAUUAGAAUUCCUUACCUAUCUUAAGAGAAGUAUGAACAAGAUGACAACAUUUAGUUAGAAAUCCAAGUACCAAUUUCAGUCCAUAAGUAAGAAUGAAAAGUUAGACAUCAUAUAAAAAGAACCCAUAAAUUCAUUUGAGUUGGAAAAUGUCUUAUAUGAGUUACUAAAACUAGAGCAUAUCAUGAAAUGGGGGAGGAACAAUUAUUGCUUCAAUUCAUCAACCACCUAAUUAGCAUAAAAUAUCAUCAUAUCACAUCAACCUUUUUAAAUAAGUACUUAAAAUAUUUUUAACAUAGAAUAUACAACCAGAAAUUAAUAGGUGUGCUAAGUGUGUGUUCAUCAUUGUCUGAAGAAAUUUGUGAGUGAUUUACCAUCCAACUCUUUCUUGGAGAACCUGAUCAUAAAUUCAUGGAGAGUGAAGUUCCUGUAAAGGGCUGGUUUCUUUGUUGAUGUUAGCUCUGGCAAUGGUCCAAAAAGUCUCUCUCUGUCACUUGGGUUGAGGAAAACAGCAAUUGAGACUCUAGCCUCAUUACAAUGAUUGGCUAACACUCGGUGAUGAGCACUCUUAUAUGUCUCGUUAGAAAUUAUCUGACACACAAAAUGAUGAAUGGGAGAGAUCAAAACAAGGAAUGUCAUACAAUAAUUCCUGCAUAUAUAACCUUGUAAACCUUCAAAUUUAACCAAAAUUAUUCUUGCAGUUAUAAAUGGUUCUAAUAAUAUGUUCACAAAAUUAUAAAAGUCAAGUUGAUGCUAAGUUAACAAGAUCAUUUCAUGACCUUGCUUCAAAAUCUAAAUUCUAAUUACUUUAUUUCCCUUUGUCUGUCAAAUGCAUACUCUUCAAAAUUAAAACCACUAAUAAUCUAUUAUUUUUAUUCUCAAAAAUAUUACACCCAGUCUUAAAAUACCAUUUGUUUCGAUUUUAAAUCUACUGAGACAUUGCUAGAUCAAACUCCAUUCGAAACAUUGUCUGCUCCAUCUGAGGUAUUGUCCGCUUUGAAAUUCGAUACUCCUUCAUGAUUUUGUCCUUAAAAAGGUGUCUCAAUGGGUUAAGAAAGAAAAGUGUGUUUAAAGUGUCAUUGACUUCAAUACUUAAAUGAUGUGAGAAUGAUCCUCGAGGACUAAGGGAACGAGGUCGAGGAUGUGUCUUUGGAACCUCAAAUAUAAUGAUUGAUCCUAACGAUAUUAUCCCCCUUCACAACUAAGGAACUCAAAUGUGUGUCUGAAACCUCAAAUAGAGUGAUCUUUGACGAUUUUAAAAUAAAUACUUUAGAUAAAUAAUCUUGGAAGGAUUAAAAAUAAUGUGAUUCCCAAAUUUUAAGAUGUUUCAAAUUAUUAUUGACCCACAUGAAACAUCCAUCAUCAUCAUCAUAAGCACAAGCACAAGAAUUAAGUGACACAAGGCUUUAAUUAAUUAAACUAUUAUUAUUAUAUAUUAAUUAAAUAAAAUUAAAUAUGAAACCUGAAGGAAAUCUCCAAUGUUAAUAACCAAAGCUUGAGGCUGAGGCUUGACAUGGAUCCAACCCUGUGGGGUCUCAACCUGCAAGCCCCCAAUAUGGUCCUGCAGCAACACCGUAAGAGCCCCUGGAUCAGCAUGCGAAUUAAGACCCACCGUUAGAUCAGGCUGAGGGCAAAACGGGUAAUAAUGUCCCACCAUAACUCUUCCUUCACCCAAACCCAUCUCCCUGAACCUCUCCGCACCCAAUCCCAGCCCCUCACUCAGCAACUCAUACAACACACGUGACACACGCACCACCUCCUUAUCCCACUCCACCACCUCUUCUCUGCACACCUCGGGAAUCUCGCUGUGAUCAACGGCUAUGGGCCCCAUUCUCAUCUGCAAAAUAAAAAUAAAAACUCAUUUAUUUUAUCAUUUCAUACAAUUUAUUUAUUUUCAAUGCCGAUUAAUUUUAAAUGUUUUCCAAAAAAUAUUAUAUUAUGUAAAAAAUAAAUAUUUUGUGUGCCUUUUUAGACAGAAAGUUUAAAUAAUAAACUUUCGAGGCUUGUAAAAAGGUUAAAUUUUACUUUUGGUUCUUAUUUUAUUUAUUAAAAGUGAUUUCGGUCACACAAUAUUUGUUGUGACAUUAUUAAAAAGUUUGUAACUUUAAUUCAAUUAUUAUCAAUUUUUUAAAAAUUGCAAGUUUUAAAUAUAUGAAGAUUAAAUAAAAAAAAAGGUGUUUAUUAAAAAAUAAAUUGUAAUUUAGCCUAUAAAAAAUUGCAUGAAUCUAAAAUUGUGUUUCAUAAACUAUAAUUUAAUUUCUCUUGUUUCAGAAAUUAAUUAUUUAAAUAUAAAUUAUUAAUUAAAUAUACAUUUAAUCUUCCCUCAACAUGAUUUAUUUUAUGAAUAAAAGAACAUAAUUAAAAUUUCAACCAAGUGGUCCAAAAAACACGAGCCUAAUACUUGUGCCAACCGAUUUAAAUUAAUUUUAAUUACAAAUUUUGCAUUAAUGAAUACCAAUAUAUUGCUAACUAUUAAAAAAUAAUUUUGAUAAAUAUUUAAGAUAAUUAUUACUAAAUAUCGUAGACUUAUUAUUUACGGUGAAUUAUGAUCAGAAGGCUUUUCCCGUUUAGACGCGAUGGUAAGAGUCAUCCAGAAAUUAAAAUUCUUGAUAUUUCAGUUUUUGUAGUAAUUAAAAAUAUUAAUCUUACACAAAUCUUUAAUUCACUUUAAAUUUACAAAAAUAGAAAAAUCUCUUUAAUAUUAAUUUAUUGUAUAUUAAUAUUAAUUUUUUAAUAGCAUAUGAUACCAAAGAUCAAGUAUUAGUUACCUGAAUUGUGUCACGCCAGCUGGCAGCUUUUGAUUGGAAGAGAUCCACGUUGGAAAGGUAUGAUACCUUCCCCACCUCCCUACGAUACACCGGCACCCUGGCCUCCGCCGGCUGCUCGUGGAACGCCUUCACCGCCGCCAGAGUUCGCCGGAGUACCUGCUCCGGGACACCGUGGUUGAUCACCUGGAAGAACCCCACCGUGCUCGCCGCCUGCCGAACCUGCUCCACCACGGCGGCGCGCGACUCCUGCAUGGCGGCCAGGUCCACCGUGGGAAUCUCCGGCGCUGAUUCGGAUUCGGACCCGCGCUUUAGCUCCGCUAAGGUUUCGGGCGGGUGAACGAAGAUAGGGGGGACAGCCUUGAUUCCCGAAUCGACCAAACCUUUGACUCCGACCCUGGUUUCGUCGAACUCCUUCAGCGCUUUCGCGCGGUCGUACGGCGCGGCGGCGCUGACCGCGGUGGCCACCGGCGAUGACAUUGGGAAGAAGCGAGAAUAGGAAUCGUUGUUUGGGUGUAGAAAGUUCAAAUUCA
rnacentral:lncRNA from 1 species